rnacentral:snRNA from 1 species
GGAUGUGAGGGUGAUCUGGCUGUGACAUCUGUCACCCCAUUGAUCACCAGGGUUGAUUUGGCAGAUCUGGCUAGCUAGGUGGGUGUCCCCUUCCUCCCUCACCACUCCAUGUGCAUCCCUCCCAAAGCUGAGCACUUGGUUAAAGAGGACAAGCAUCCCCGAUAGAGGAGGACUGGUCUUCAGUCAAGGGUAACGAGUAGCUGCGUUCCCCUGCUAGAGCCUCCAAACAAGCUCUCAAGGAAGACUUCCAGGCUCUCCCACGGUCCUGAGUUCACGGGAGCCCAACCCUACUCACAAGUCACUUUUCAACCUGGUGUCCUGCUUUG